GAUGAAGAACGUAGCGAAAUGCGAUAAGUAAUGUGAAUUGCAGAAUUCAGUGAAUCAUCGAAUCUUUGAACGCACCUUGCACCCUUUGGUAUUCCGAAGGGUAUGCUCGUUUGAGUGUCAUUGUACUCUCACACUUCUAAUUCCUUUCGGGAUUGGGAGCGGUGGACUUGGGUGUUGCUGCUUUAGUUGUGGCUCACAUCAAAUAAGUUAGUGCAACUCUUGGUUGGACAUAGUACGGCGUGAUAAGUGUCUUCGCCGGCGCCUCUGUAAGGAGGGUGGCCGAUCGGGAGCUCUGUGCUUCAAACCGUCUUCGGACAAUCUUUGACAACUUGACCUCAAAUCGAGUAGGACUACCCGCUGAACUUAAGCAUAUCAAUAAGCGGAGGA
rnacentral:misc_RNA from 1 species